GGUACAUCGGUGACAGGUGGUGCAUGGUUGUCGUCAGCUCGUGUCGUGAGAUGUUGGGUUAAGUCCCGCAACCGAGCCGCAACCCCUAUUGUUAGUUGCCAUCAUUCAGUUGGGCACUCUAGCGAGACUGCCGGUAAUAAACCGGAGGAAGGUGGGGAUGACGUCAAAUCAUCAUGCCCCUUAUGACCUGGGCUACACACGUGCUACAAUGGUUGGUACAACGAGUUGCGAGUCGGUGACGGCGAGCUAAUCUCUUAAAGCCAAUCUCAGUUCGGAUUGUAGGCUGCAACUCGCCUACAUGAAGUCGGAAUCGCUAGUAAUCGCGGAUCAGCACGCCGCGGUGAAUACGUUCCCGGGCCUU
rnacentral:rRNA from 1 species